rnacentral:rRNA from 1 species
GAUGAACGCUGGCGGCGUGCUUAACACAUGCAAGUCGAACGAAGCACUUUAUUUGAUUUCCUUCGGGACUGAUUAUUUUGUGACUGAGUGGCGGACGGGUGAGUAACGCGUGGGUAACCUGCCUUGUACAGGGGGAUAACAGUUGGAAACGGCUGCUAAUACCGCAUAAGCGCACGGCAUCGCAUGAUGCAGUGUGAAAAACUCCGGUGGUAUAAGAUGGACCCGAGUUGGAUUAGCUAGUUGGUGAGGUAACGGCCCACCAAGGCGACGAUCCAUAGACGGACUGAGAGGGUGACCGGCCAAAUUGGGAAUGAGGCACGGCCCAGACUCAUACGGGAGGCAGCAGUGGGGAAUAUUGAGCAAUGGGAGAAAGCCUGAAGCAGCCAUGCCGAGUGAAUGAAGAAGGUUUUAGGAUUGUAAAAUUCUAUCAACGGGGAAGAUAAUGACGGUACCCGGAUAAGAAGCACCGGAUAACUUCGUG